GAUGAACGCUGGCGGCGUGCCUAACACAUGCAAGUCGAGCGAAAAGAUCAGGAGCUUGCUCCUCUGACGUUAUCGGCGGACGGGUGAGUCACACGUGGAUAACCUACCUAUACGACUGGGAUAAUUUCGGCAAACCGUAGCUACUACCGGAUAAUAUAUUGACCUUGAUGGUUCAAUAGUGAAAGACGGUUUUGCUGACACUUAUAGCUGGCUACGCGCCGAAUUAGUUAGUUGGUAAGGUAACGGCUUAACAAGGCAACGAUGCGUAGCCGACCUGAGGGGGUGAUCCGCCACACUGGAACUGAGACACGGCCCAGACACCUACGGUAGGCCGCGGUAGGGAAUCUUCCGCGAUGGGCGAAAGCCGGACGGAGCAACGCCGCGGAAAGGAUGAAGGUCUUCGGAUGGGAGAACGCUGUUAGUAUGGAAGAACAAAUGUGUUAGUAACUAGGCACAUCAUGACGGUACCUAAACAAAAAGCCCCGGCUAACUACGUG
rnacentral:rRNA from 1 species